rnacentral:rRNA from 1 species
AUUGAACGCUGGCGGCAUGCCUUACACAUGCAAGUCGAACGGCAGCACGGGAGCAAUCCUGGUGGCGAGUGGCGAACGGGUGAGUAAUAUAUCGGAACGUGCCCGGUCGUGGGGAUAACGUAGCGAAAGACUACGCUAAUACCGCAUACGAUCUACGGAUGAAAGACGGGGGAGUCGCAAGACCUCGCGCGAUUGGAGCGGCCGAUAUCAGAUUAGGUAGUUGGUGAGGUAAAGGGACUCACCAAGCCGACGAUCUGUAGCUGGUCUGAGAGGACGACCAGCCA